AGGAGAAUAGUUCCAAUGGUAGAACAAUAGUCUUUAAAACCACAAGUUAAGGAUUUGAAUUUCUUUUCUUUUC
rnacentral:tRNA from 1 species